AUUGAACGCUGGCGGCAGGCCUAACACAUGCAAGUCGAGCGAGCGGCGGACGGGUGAGUAAUGUCUGGGAAACUGCCUGAUGGAGGGGGAUAACUACUGGAAACGGUAGCUAAUACCGCAUACCAUCAGAUGUGCCCAGAUGGGAUUAGCUAGUAGGUGGGGUAACGGCUCACCUAGGCGACGACCCCUAGCUGGUCUGAGAGGAUGACCAGCCACCCUGGAAGUGAGACAAGGUCCGGAUUCCAAAGGGCGGGAGCAGUGGGGAAUUUUGCAGAAUGGGCGCAAGCCUGAUGCGGCCAUGGCGCGUGUGUGAAGAAGGCCUUCGGGUUGUAAAGCACUUUCAGCGGGGAGGCGUUACACGCAGAAGAAGCACCGGCUAACUCCGUGCAAGCAGCCGCGGUAAUAC
rnacentral:rRNA from 1 species